CGCGCGGGACGACCCGUGCCUGACGCAUCCAUUUCGGGACGACCCGA
rfam:Roseovarius sp. TM1035 1101493006649, whole genome shotgun sequence.